rnacentral:rRNA from 1 species
GACGAACGCUGGCGGCGUGCCUAACACAUGCAAGUCGAACGGAACUUUUUCAAAAGAAUCUUUCGGGAUGAUUUUGAUUAAGUUUAGUGGCGGACGGGUGAGUAACGCGUGAGUAACCUGCCUUUGAGAGGGGAAUAACAAUCUGAAAAGAUUGCUAAUACCGCAUAACAUAUAUGAAUCGCAUGGUUUGUAUAUCAAAGAUUUUAUCGCUGAAAGAUGAGCUCGCGUCUGAUUAGCUAGUUGGCGGGGUAACGGCCCACCAAGGCGACGAUCAGUAGCCGGACUGAGAGGUUGAACGGCCACAUUGGGACUGAGACACGGCCCAG